rnacentral:lncRNA from 1 species
CCAGUAUCACUCAUGUGAGGACUCUACUUUCAUGACCUAAUUUCUUCCCAAUGGCCUCUUCUUCAAAUGCAAUCACAUCAGGACUAGGGUUUCAAUUUAUGAAUUUUAUGGGAUGUAAAUAUUCAGAAUACAGCCUAAUCUGAGAUAUGAAUAUGAGGGGAAGGAUAAUGUGAGAUAAGAUCUGAACACCAGGUAGAGAAGGACCACAGGGGUAUUAUUAACUAAAGUUUCCAAGAGUUUACAGUUUAAUUUGAAGGAUAAUGGGAAGUCAUUGAAAGGAAGUGAUAUGAUCUGAUUUGCAAGUUUAGAAGACCAUUAUGCCUACUGUAUGGAGACUAGUAUUUUCACAGGCUUGGAGUAGAUGUGAGAGACCACAUUGGAACGGCUGACCCCAAUCAGCAGCUUUAGGGCAAUUGGCCUUUUUGUUCACACCUAGUAUGACAUCCUUGGGCUUCGUCACCAGUCCCUGGUCCAAACAACUGCAUCUAAGUAACAUCUUUAACUUCCUCCGAUUGCAAUACCAUAAUCCAUAUGAAUUUAGGAAAGGAUGAGUUGGUUGAAAUUUUGAAUGUGUUUUUGUAAUAGGCCACUAAGUUUUUAUGUUCUCUUAUACCUUAUCCAGUAAUAAUCUCCAUAAUUUGACCCAAUAAUCCCAAUAAUUUAGUAGAUUCCUAAUAUACUGAGCAUCUACUCUAUUGCAAGUCCCUUUUUUCUUUUAACUGUAGGAUCUCAUGUAAGCCUCACAAUCACCCUUGAACUUGGUUCUAGCAUUACUCUGUUAGGUCUGGGGUGGGGCUUUGUAUCUGGGUUCAGUGCAGGAAAUGGAAACCAUUCCAGCUAUGUGAACCAGAAAGGAAUUUAGAACAGGAAUAAGGUGUAAACCUUAGAAGGGCUGGAGGAGACAAAGCCCCUGGGCUCUUGGUUUCAAGGUCAUUCUCCCACACCUGAGAUCCAGAGGUUUGUUUGCUACUGUCAUUCUGUCACUGAUGUCUGUCAGACUCUCACUGUCAGCUGCUCUAUAGCAGUGUGGGGUCUGACCACUGCCAGCACUAUCAUUUGUCAGAGUCUAUUUGUUGCCCAAAGAUCCAUGGAAAUGGCAAGGUGAUGUUGCUUUCUUUCCACUCUCCAAGUCUUGAACAGACAUACUAAUUGGCAAA